GUGUGUGUGUGUGUUUGUGUGUUGCCGGCGUGUGAUUGGUAUUCUGUAGAUGGUGUGCAGUGCUCCAAACAGGCUCUGCCCAGAAUGGCUCCACAGAGCAGGGAUUGUGUUAACCUGAGGAGGACCACUCUCACACAGGGGUCUUAAGCAACGCAAGGCCAUGAGACUCAGAUGAGGAAAUUCUCAGUGCAGCGACAGAUGUGACGCCACUGCAGUUCUGUUUGCUUCCACGGACCUCGGAGCAGCCAUAACUCGAUCCGCCUCCAUCCCAGAGGUGCCAUUCCGAGGAUAGAGGGAGUGUCUGUGCCAAAACUCAUUCCUGAACUCCUGAAGGGAGGAGCCGUGGGAAUUGGAGGGAUAGCUGGAUUGAUGAGGGUGCUGGAGAACAGAGCGUGAGCCGCUCUCUCCACGUCUCCACCCGAGCGCUGGGCUCCUUAAUCAGUUCAUCCUCCCAGACACUUGAGCUCAACUUAUUCUGGAGGAUUUUGCUCUGAGACUUCAAAUCUUCCACUAUAUGUUUUUAAUCUAUUCUAGUUUCUUUGCUCAAGUCAAUGCUCCCCUUCAUCAAAUGUGGCAGGAGGGCCUAAGGAACGGUUCUCUGUGAAACUAAAAGCAAUAACGUGUAAGGUAGAGUGAGGUGGCAGAGGAAAGCAGGGUGAAAGUGCUGACUGGGUUUGAGUGUUUUUGUGCGGGUUUGCAAGGCCUGUGCAGCAAUGGAUGAGGGUUUGUGCCGAGGGCUGACAGGAAGAAGCAGCUAGACGCCAAUGUAUAACCGAAGCCUCUAUGUGUGCGCAGGAGAGUGCGUUAGUGUGCGAAUGUGCAUGUGAUUGUCUCUUGGAGUGCAGAAUUCUGAGAAUUGGCCAUUAUUGCCAUUCCCUCCUAUUUUUGUGUUGGAGCCGGGGAGGGUCAACAUUAACAGCGCACUCGAGAGAGAGGGACGAAUGAAGCAAAAAAAUAAAUAAAUAAAUGACAGUGACACUUCAGUUUUCUCUCACCAUAUUUUUGGUGCCCAUUGGUGGGGUUCUUUUUCCUCUGAGUGCUUGAGCUUUGUAAAAAAAAAAAAAAACCCUACUUCUGUCCCAUCAAAGUGGAUUAUUAUAAAAAUCACAGCUUGUGAAGGGCUCUCAGAUGGAUCAUUUCUAGCUGGAAUACCUUCUCCUUUGAGACUCUCCACACCACUCCAUUUCUGUGACUUUCAACCUGUCAUCCUAGAAGACGUGUUGCGAUUCCCCGGGGGACUGCGUUCACUUGUUGCCACAGAAAUCCAUGGCAUCCUGUUCCUGACAAGGUCCGCUUCAUUCUUGUGAGGACUGGGAUGAUCCGACUCCCUCCAUCACCUAAAAGCGAGUAGAGAUGUGCCCUUAAACAGCCCAGUGAACUAUGAAUAACAUCACCACACACUCCCACUGUACGCACUUCCCACGGUGCUCUGCAG
ensembl:lncRNA